UUCAUUUUGUAUUUCCCACCUGAUUUUUCACUCUCCCAUAAAUCAAAAAACCUAAGCACCACGAAAUCAAAACCCUAAGCACUAAUCCUUCUCCGCUGCCGCACCUUCCACGCUAAGGGCAUCAACACCUGACUCUGGUCCAACCUCUCGUGUCCGCUCUGCUCUCUCUAUCGCCGUCGCGGUGGUUGCUAAUACGCCAUGUGCUACGACAUCUUCCGCCUUAAAUAGCAAUAUCAACCGCUAUAAUGCCAAAGGCGUUGAUGCCAUCACAGGUUGCGGCGAUUCACGGUCCCAAUAUGAGGUUGCGUUCAACCACGUCCACUAGAGGAGCUAGGACGAUACAAAGGAGUCGACAAAUGACGUUGUUUCGAAGCUCUAGAAGGUUCUUCAGUGGUGGAGGGAUGUUGACCUCUAUUCCUUGAAGAUUCAGGCCGCCGCUUCUUCCCAAUCCAACACUCACCCCCAACUGAGAAGGGUUCCAGUUGAGUGUUUUUUAUGAGUGAGCUUGCCGAUUGCAAAACUCGUCAUUCAAAUCCAAACUGCCAAAUGACGAACUUGUGUCCAACAGAUGUUAAGGUGCAAGGAGACAAUGACGUCAACACCACCAAACAUCUCUGGGUUGGUGCAAUUGCUGCUAUGAUGUCUGAUGUCUAGGCCCUGUUGUAGGGGGAACUUCAAUUUUGUGUACCUACCCGUUGGAUCUUGCUCGUACCAAACUUGCCUACCAGGUAGUUAUUUGAUUCAGAGCAAUAUGUUCAACUUGAUUUGGAUAAGUUCCAUAGGAUAGUUACUUGCAUGAGUUUAACAAUAGAAAAUGUCUAAGAUCUAUCUUUUGGUAUAUUGUUUUAGGUAAUUUGGCUUAGUUUUCUCUCAAUUAUUUUACAUAAUUAUUUUACAUGAUAGAUAUGCAAACUAAAAACUAUUGGAAUAAAAAUGAAAAUGAAUUUGGAGCAAGAGGAAGUCAAAAUCAUAUGCAUGAUAAGUUACCAUUGAUUGACGAAUACUAUAUGAGAAAUUUUUUGACGAAUAUUUUUGUAGAUAAUUAUGGACGCUUCGAUUUCGUAGAUAAUGGUCGUAAGUAAAUUAUCUACAAAACAUAUUUUCGUAGAUAAAAUUACCUACCAGCAUAAUACCUACGAAAUUUGCUUCGUAGGUAAGUCGUAGAUAAAUGCAAAUUACCUACGAAAAAUUUUGAUUACCUACGAAAUAUUGGCAUAGAUAAUAACAAUAUUUCUUGUAGUGUCAGUGGGUCAGAUAACGAGAGUGAAUCAGCUGGGGAUGAAGAAAAUAAUGAUGAAAGGACAAGAUGUGGUCCAUUCCAGACAUUUGUAAUGCCAAAAAGUAUGGCAGAUUACAAAUGGGAAGUAGGAACUGUUUUUCUAGACCCAUGUAAAGAUUCCUUUGUCUCUUGUAGACCCAUCAUAGGUCUGGAUGAUUGUUUUUUAAAAGGAAAAUACAAAGGUGAGUUGUUAAGUGUUGUGGGUAGAGAUUCUAAUGAUCAGUUACUGCCCUUAGCGUAUGCUGUUGUGGAAGUUGAAAACAAAGAAACUUGGACAUGGUUUUUGGAAUUGCUUAUUGGUGAUCUUGGAGGUAUUGACGUGUGUGGGACAAUGACCUUUAUUAUUGUCCAACAAAAGGUAUGUUUAAUUUAUGUUCAAUUUAUUAAUUUUUGUUUACUGUUGUAAAUAUUAAUAAUGUAAUCAUUGCACAGGGAUUAGUGUCCGCCAUUCAGGACCUAUUACCCACUGCUGAGCACAGGUUUUGCAUGAGACAUCUAUAUGCAAAUUUCAGAAAAAUAUUCUCUAGCCAAAAAAUAAAGAUACUCAUGUGGAAAGUGCUAGGAGCACACACACAACAUUUUUGGAAAGAGUGAUCUUAACAAUUAAAGAGCUCAAUAUUGAUGCUUACAGAUACCUUAUUGCUAUAGCUAUAGCUCCAAGGUUCUGGUCCAAAUCUAGAUUUAGUGGUCGAGCCAUAUGCGACACAAUUGUCAACAAUAUGAGUGAAGCAUUUAAUAGUGUCAUAGUGGAUGCUAGAGGCAAACCCAUAAUCACCAUGCUUGAGGAAAUCAGAGUUUAUUUAAUGGAAAGGUGGGCCACUAAGAGAAAAAAUGUUACAACUUUUGAAGGAAACAUCUGCCCCAAGGUCCUUGACAAACUACAUAAGGAAAAGGAGUUAACCAAAUAUUGGAUCCCAAGCUGGUCAGAGGAAAAGCUAUUUGAAGUGAGGCACAUAUACAUGGUUGGAGAUACGUACACAGUCAAUGUGGAUGCUCAACAUUGCAGCUGCAAAAAAUGGCUUCUAACUACUAUCCCUUGCUGUCAUGCUAUUGCAGCAAUGAAUUUCAUCAAUGUCAAUGCUGAGGACUUCAUACCAAUCUGGUUCAGGAGAUCCACCUACGAAGAAAUAUAUCAAUCCAUCAUCUUUCCAGUCAAUCGUGAAGUCUUAUGGGAAAGAACUCCCUACCCUGAGGUCCAUCCACCACAUAAGAGAAUCUUACUAAGAAGACCCAAGAAAAAAAGAAGGUUGGAAGAGUGGGAGUUGAGAAAGGAUAACACACAAAUCAACAAAGGAGGUCACAGAAAAAAAAAUGUAGCAUAUGUUGUCAGAUUGGCCAUAACAGGAACAAUUGCCCAGAUAAGCCUAUGGAUGAGCAUACUGCACCACCUACUGAAACUGCAUUAGAUGCCCAAACUAAACCACAUGUUGACCAUGCUAACCUUGCUGAGGGAACUACAACACCUGUUGAGACUGCACCAGAUGCCCAAACUGCUGAGAAUGCAUCAACUGCCGAAACUCCAACAACUCAACCACCAAGGAAUGAAGUGGAGAGUCAAGCAGCACCACUACCAGCACUAGACGAACCAUCUCAACAGUUUAGGAUGAAAUUACAGAUUAGGAGGAGGCCAUGAUAGUAGCUACAGAUGUCUUAGUUAUUUUUUGGAAUUUCUGAUGUAGAAUUCAUUAUUGAUGUACUGCAUUUUUGUAUUUGUUUUAUUUGCUCUUAGAAUCUGAGUUGAAAUUGUGGCUCCAAUUUUGAAAGGGUUUAGGUUUACACCUAAAUGGAACUGUCAAAUAAUACUUUGCUUUUUUGGUUAACAUUGCAAGUUUUAUAAGGGUAUAUUUUGAGUUGUUCCACCUGG